GGAGAUUAUACAGACGACGCGACCGGCACACGAGCUUGCUUUGCGGGAGGAGAGAGAGAGAGAGAGAGAUUGAGAGAGAGAGAGAGAGAGAGAGAGUGAGAGCGCCUGCGCAUCAGCGUUCACUGCUUUUUACACCGACCUGCUGGUUGGGAUGGAUGGACGUGCAACGCUUUCUACCCUCGCUGCCUCGCCUGCAAACCGAAGGGUACAGUACUGUCCUCCACAACGAUGCCUAGAGACCACGUGAUGCAGUUUAUCGUGGUUGCUACAAAUGUGUCCCUCGUAAGACAACUGUAAUCGAUGAAGGUAAAUAUUCGUGUUCUGUAUUGCAUUAUUGAUCAAUCUUGGCAACGUGUUUCGGAGGGUUUAUUUUAUUACUUUGGAUAAUGUAAGGAAAAUAAAUACCGUUUUCAUUUCAGCCCCUAAUGCUUUUUUUUAAAAAAAAAACAAAAAAAACAACUCAAAUCAAAAUAAUUCUUCACAGCAUGUAAAUGCAUUGUGCUACAAAUCAAUUCCACCGUGCAAUAUAUUUAAUAAUAAAUCGGCAUGCAUGCUGUACCCUUGUUGUAUAAUAUGUGAUCACUGUACACGUUUGAAGAAAGUGGCUUUUAACAAUAAAAAAUAUAUCUAAAAGAUCCGAUUGAAACAAAACACACACACAUAUUAAAAUGCUAGUUUAUAUUUACGUACUGUAUUGAAAAAAAAUGGUUUUGAAUAGACAACACACGUCGAAUACCAUCAGCAAUAAUGUACAGAACGAUUAAGGAAUUUAUAAUCUAUUUAUAAUCAAUCAAUCAAUCAAUCAAUCUUUAUUUUAUAUAGCGCCUUUCACAGUAACUAAAAGUUCAUUCGUGGUUCAAAGGCAAACAAGUCAUUUUUCUUUCUUUUCCUAAAAUAAUGACUACAAGUAAAUUCAUGUGUGAUUUCUGAAGUUCACAUCAUGGCUUAAAAUUGAUUUGAAUAAUAAUAAUAAUAAUAAUAAUAAUAAUAAUAAUAAUAAUAAUAAUAAUAAUAAUAAUAAUAAUAAUGUUACAUCACUAUCUCGUGUGUUACUGACUGAUACAAUAGGGAAAAUAAAUAUUUUAACGAUAAAUACAGUGACAACCAGCUAACACAAAAUUUACAGACAAAAUUAUCCCGUGUUAGCGGAAUUUUGUUUUCCAAACUAGUUUAAAAGACACAUUUUAUUAUCUGAUCGCUUGUAUGUAGACGGCUCAGACAGAUGCGCUGUGUUCUGUUAUAUAGAGAGUGAAUGUCAAAUUACGGCACCCAAAACUCUGUGCCGAUAGUUUUGUAUGUUAGAACAUCUUUUAUUAAAUUGAACUCUUUUUUUAAGCAGUAGAAAAUGCACUCUUACUAAUAGCGUGCAUUUUAUUAAAGGUAUAAUAAUUAGAAAAAUGAUCAUAACUGCAUCGUCAUCUCAUGCAAGACUCCACACGUUAUUCUUGAAGUUUUUAGUUGAGAUCACUCAGCUUUUCAAUUUCAUUUUUAUUUAAAAUUUUAAGAGCAGUAUUACUCGAAGCAUUCUUCCAUAUAUAUUUACAUUUUAAAAAUAGAUAUUUAUAAGUAGCAUGUGAGUGAAAUAUAUAUAUAAUAUAUAUUAAAAAAAACCCGACCACCAAUGCAAAUGAAAAUAAACGAAUAGAAUACAGCGCAGAGUCAAGGGUCUAGAUCUAUUAAACAGACUGACCAUUAACUUUUCAUACCAGUGGCUCUUCCCAGUAAUAAAUAUGUGCUUAAGCCUUUAACGCCCGAGCGCUUAUGAAAGGACCAAAGCUGCUAUAUUUAUAUAACUAGAUUCCGUUUCUUGUGCAAAACACUUUUUUCUGUCAUAAUGUACUGCGUGUGAAAUAUUCUGGUUUGUGAGGCUGGAUUUAAUAAACAAUAGCAUGAAGGGAUGGCUAAGCGCUGUAUCAGAUGCGAUACAGACAUGGGCAUUGCAAGGUUAUUAUUUUGCGAGGGGUUGCAAGCUAUAGCGUUGUCGUUUUAAAACAGGAAAACCUAAGCGCAACGCAUCAUCAAUUAUUACUAAUUAGUCAUUAAUAAUGCUACAGAGUCACUUCUGAUAGGACCUCGCUUUGUUUUGCGUCUCAUCCGAAGGACGGAGCACAAGGAGGUGAAGUGACUUGCUCAGAGUCACACACACACACACACACGCAGUGAGUCAGUGGUUGAGCUGGGAUUGAACUGGGAGCUUCCAGUUAAGAAUCAUCUCACAGCUGGAUCCACUCCACUGGUCCGGUUGCUUCAAAAUCCGGUCCGUGCCACACCGAGAUGCUUCCUCUGCAGUGAAUGCUGAGCGAUAGGAGAGGCGGGUCUCUGAGACCCCGCCCCCUUUGAAAGAAGACCCGGCCAUGGGACAGUGAUACCAGGUGGGGCUUAUAAGGACAAAUCACAGCCCAGAAUAGGGUAUAGAAAGGGGCGCACGGAUUCGAUCGCUUGGCAUCUUUCACACUGGUGUUUUUUUGGUGCAUCUGCUAGGAUAUGGGUUUAGCUUGAUAUGACAAUAGGGUGGACUACAGCUGUGACCAAAAGUUUUGCAUCACCACCCUGUAGAAUGAACUCAUUUUGUUUCAUAAAGUCGAAUGAAAACCUGCUAUAAAUAAUGUUAACAUAUUGAAUUGCACACCACCGCUUUGUAGUUUUCCAUACUUGACCACAAUGGAAAAAAACUGACAUUUUGAAAUCUAACAUGAAAUACUGUGCUACUAUUAUGGCUUCCUUCCGGUAGACUUUUCUUUUUUUGCGAUAUCGUUUUGUAGUUUCUUUGAUUAAAUGAUGUAAAAUAAAAAUAUCUAAAUUAUGUUCAUAUCAAUGUCCUAUCGUAAGUGACUCUGCAUAUAAUGCGCAGUUCACAGCCUACCUCUGUAAAGCGCUUUGUGAUGGUGGUCCACUAUGAAAGACGCAUAUGUCUCAACCCUAAAAUUCUCGGGGAUGCAAAACUUUUGAGCACAGCUGUAGCUGAGUAGAGUGGACCCGCGGGUUGGUGAGGUGUCACACUAUGUUGCCUCUCGUUUUGAGUUUUCGCUUUCGUUGAAUCUCGUGUACAGUUCUCUAAUCCUCAAAUCGAACACAUUCUUGCUAUUUCUGUGUUCUUUAACAACAGCAAAAUAAUACUUUGUGCCGCACUGAAUGUACAUUUGAAAACAAUAACAUUUCAAAGCUUCAAACUCAGCAUCCGGUUUUUCUAGCUAUCAAAGCAGCGUUAUUGUUUGCGUCGCUAACUUAUCGACCUCAAAAAAAAAAAAAAAAAAAAAAUGCCAAAACGGAUUUCUUUUGAGUUAAGGUGGGAGAAAGCAGUAACCAACGAGUGUGUCACAGUUUGCCAGCGCAUCAGACCACAAUCCACACAGCAUGGAGGAUCUUACACCGGCAACACUUCAAAACAUUAGCCGCAACUCCAGCAUGAAUUCCAGCUGAAUACCACAGCAAGAACGCCUGAUAAUCCCACGCACUGCCUCCUGAGUUCUGCAGUCAUUCACCGUGAAUUCAGCCCUUGCUAUAAUACACGUGGAUUGAAUGAAUUACCCGUGUUCCUUUGCAACAGAUUGAGCAUUCAAAUAUAAAACUCCAGGACGGACAGAAAAAAAUGGCCAACACAUAAUUGGAGAUACGAGUCAAACGUAUUUCCUUGUUAAAAUCAGUUUGACUGUUACUUCAGAGAAAGAUGGAAGCGUCACUCUUCUGUUAAUAUAGAAGUCUCAACCCUGUUUUCUCUGUCUUCUUUCACUUGCUAGGUGCGGGCUCUGCCAGCCAUGCUGCUUCCAGAGGAGGACAGGCUAGGGGUUGGUUGUUAUCUUUGGUUAUCUAGCUGUAUGAGUGUUGUACAUUCUUCAUAAAGCUAGAUAACCGAAAGUAACAAGAAUCCCAUUACA